AAAGAGGACAGGUUGAGACAUCUAAAGAGAGUCUGUUGGCAGGUUGAGACAUCUAAAGAGGGCCUGUUGGCAGGUUGAGACAUCUAAAGAGGGUCUGUUGGCAGGUUGAGAACACUAAAGAGGGUCUGUUGGCAGGUUGAGACAUCUAAAGAGGGUCUGUUGGCAGGUUGAGACAUCUAAAGAGGGCCUGUUGGCAGGUUGAGACAUCUAAAGAGGGUCUGUUGGCAGGUUGAGACAUCUAAAGAGGGUCUGUUGGCAGGUUGAGA